rnacentral:rRNA from 1 species
GGCGUGCCUAACACAUGCAAGUCGAGCGAUGAAAUUCCUUCGGGAAUGGAUUANCGGCGGACGGGUGAGUAACACGUGGGUAACCUGCCUCAUANAAGGGAAUNGCCUUCCGNAAGGAANANNAAUACCGCAUNAUGUAGUACCUUCGCAUGAAGGAACUAUCAAAAGANCAAUCUGCUAUGAGAUGGACCCGCGGCGCAUUAGCUANUUGGUGAGGUAACGGCUCACCAAGGCGACNAUGCGUAACCGACCUGAGAGGGUGAUCGGCCACAUUGGAACUGANACACGGUCCAGACUCCUACCGGACUGCAGCAGUGGGGAAUAUUGCGCAAUGGGGGAAACCCUGACGCAGCAACGCCGCNGUGAAUGAAGAANGCCUUCUGGGUUGUAAAGUUCUGUNUUAUNGGAAGAUAAUGACNGUACCAUAUGAGGAAGCCACUGUGCACNUCGUUGCCAGNACCUCAAUUAAUACGUAGGUGGCAAGCGUUUGUCCGGAUUUACUGGGCCGUAAAGGAU